rnacentral:tRNA from 1 species
GGGUCGGUGGUCCAGCUCGGUUAAGACGCUGCCCUUACAAGGCAGAUAUCACAGGUUCAAAUCCUGUCCGACCCACCA